rnacentral:misc_RNA from 1 species
AGAAUAAAAGGUCUCUAUUCUAAGACAAUCUUAUCAUUUGAACAUGUGCUGACCUGGCCCUGCAGAGUCAGUGGGUGGAGUAUUAUCAUUGUCAAUAAUUGGCACCACCUGCUCAAAAAACAACAAUUACAAGGACCAAUAUCAAUAAGCCAACCUCACCCUUCCAAUACGAUCACAUUGUCUUAGAAUAGAGACCUUUUAUUCUCAUUUAGAAUGGAGAUGUGAGAGAAAGCUCUGUGCUGUGCUUACUGCUGACUGCUUACAACUUGUACCACCAUGCAAAACCCCAAAAUGACAGGACAAAAACCCUACCAGUAAUGUUCAAAUGGAGGCUGAGGAGGCUCCAUUGCAAUAAUUAAAGCCAUACCAAACACCACUAGGAAUAAAAGUGUUGUAGGUAAAUGUAAUUGACCUAGUGUUAUACCCAUACACAGUCACACUAUUUGGUUUCCAGCCAUCAUAGCCACUCCUGUAGAGGUACAAAUAGCAAAUCUGGUAUGCGCAAGGCCCCUUUAUCUGAAACGUAUCUGUAGAGCAACUCUCAAAUGUUGCUGAAUAUG